rnacentral:rRNA from 1 species
UACGUAGGGUGCGAGCGUUGUCCGGAAUUACUGGCGUAAGAGCUCGUAGGUGGUUUGUCGCGUUGUUCGUGAAAACUCACAACUCAAUUGUGGGCGUGCGGGCGUACGCAGACUGGAGUACUGCAGGGGAGACUGGAAUUCCUGGUGUAGCGGUGAAAUGCGCAGAUAUUAGGAGGAACACCGGUGGCGAAGGCGCCACUCUGGGCCGAAACUGACGCUGAGGAGCGAAAGCGUGGGUAGCAAACAGG